UGGUGGAGUAUGUACCCUAGUCUCUAAACCUUUCUUAAGAAAAUUUACAACAAUUGAAGGUAUUUCGCCUCAAUCUGUUCGCAAUGCAAGGUUUCUGUGUUGAUGUGUGUAGACAGUAAAUACACACCUCAGUACUACACAACCUGUAGCAGGUGAAGUAAUUUGUGUAACUGUUGUCUGUCAAUGACCAAAUUGACUUAAAAUGCAUUCACUUGGUAAUUCUUGCAUUUUAC